rnacentral:snoRNA from 1 species
CCCUGCAUCCGAAAGUGAUCUUGGCUGCUAUGCCCCGUCAUUGGUAGUGCAGGGAAAGGAUGCGGAGCUCGGGGCGUCUGGCCUGACCCCUCCAGAUCCUGAAGCUUUCCUACA